UUAGCCUUUAUGCAGCCACGAAACCAAUUUUUGUUGGACCAGAGGAAGGACAGAGGAAAGGGUAAACUUCUACUGUUCAUGAAGAUCUUUGGGGAAAGAAACAUGAAGCCCUGUCUGGACAAACAGCAAACCUGAGCAUCACAGUCCUUAUUCUGCAGCCCUGUCUGGAAAGUGGAAGCAGUCACUGUGAUCUCUACUCAGCUCUCAACAUUCAACGCAUCAAGUAAAAAAAGAAACCAGUACUGUUCUGAGGAAACUGGGAGAGUGAAUGCAUCUGAAGGACCCUUGAUUUUCAAGUCAUAUCAACAAAUGGCUCUUAAUUCUGCUGCUUAGGAAAGAGCAGAAAGAGCCCGGCUGUGCCGGCACCUGUGCAGUUGCCAGAACGAAGGGAAGGACUAUCUGGGUUGGGAAUAAAAACAUAAGUACCAUAGACUUUUUAAGCGCAUUAGGGAGUAAUUGGGAGUGGAGCCAAGGAAGUAGCAUUGGGCUGCUUCCCGUGGUUUUCAGGGAGUCUGAUGUCAUCUGAAUAGUCCUCUGCCUCCUAUGCAUUUGCAAAAUUUUACUGUAUGCCAUUAGAAGGGAGAAGUUAUUGGGGACCACAUUAGGUUUAAUACUAUUUAUUAGCUGUCCUUGCCUUUGGCUUUGUUUAAGACACACUGCAUGUUUUUAAUUGUCAUUUUUAAGGAGCACAAACGCCCUUGAGCAUAGACAUCCUAUCAUAAAAUGCAACAGUAAUAUCAGCAGGAGGUUUCAUUAAAACUUUGAAAUUUCAUCCACUCUUUUCUGAUUAAUUUUUUUCUUGGUGGCUAAGAGCUUUAACAGUGCAUUCUUACAGCUGGUUCUAAGUACAUUUUUUUCUUAUUUUAAAAGAUGAACUAUGAGCUUUAAAAAUUCACAGUUAAACUUUUUAAAAUCUACAAUAAAUGUGUGUAAAGUUUCUGCAUAAGAAGUUUAUUUAUUGAGAAGGGAAUGAUUUUUAAAAAAAUAAGAGUUCUUAAAUUCCUCUAAAUUG
rnacentral:lncRNA from 1 species